GAUGAAGAACUCAGCGAAAUGCGAUAAGUAGUGUGAAUUGCAGAAUUCAGUGAAUCAUCGAAUCUUUGAACGCACAUUGCGCCCCUUGGUAUUCCAUGGGGCAUGCCUGUUCGAGCGUCAUUUGUACCCUCCAGCCCUGCUGGGUAUUGGGCGUUUUGUUCCGCUACGCGCGUGAACUCGCCUCAAAUGCAUUGGCAGCCCGCCGUCCCGUGUGGGAGCGCAGCACAUUUUGCGCUCUCCGCUGCUGACGGUGGCAUCCACAAGUCUACCAUUUUACGCUUGACCUCGGAUCAGGUAGGGAUACCCGCUGAACUUAAGCAUAUCAAUAAGCGGAGGA
rnacentral:misc_RNA from 1 species